rnacentral:rRNA from 1 species
AACGAACGCUGGCGGCAGGCCUAACACAUGCAAGUCGAACGAGACCUUCGGGUCUAGUGGCGCACGGGUGCGUAACGCGUGGGAAUCUGCCCUUUGCUACGGAAUAACUCAGAGAAAUUUGUGCUAAUACCGUAUAAUGUCGAAAGACCAAAGAUUUAUCGGCAAAGGAUGAGCCCGCGUAGGAUUAGCUAGUUGGUGAGGUAAAGGCUCACCAAGGCGACGAUCCUUAGCUGGUCUGAGAGGAUGAUCAGCCACACUGGGACUGAGACACGGCCCAGACUCCUACGGGAGGCAGCAGUGGGGAAUAUUGGACAAUGGGCGAAAGCCUGAUCCAGCAAUGCCGCGUGAGUGAUGAAGGCCUUAGGGUUGUAAAGCUCUUUUACCAGGGAUGAUAAUGACAGUACCUGGAGAAUAAGCUCCGGCUAACUCCGUGCCAGCCGCCGCGGUAACAC